UACGGAGGGUGCAAGCGUUAUCCGGAUUCACUGGGUUUAAAGGGUGCAUAGGUGGGUAGGUAAGUCAGUGGUGAAAUCCCCGAGCUUAACUUGGGAACUGCCGUUGAUACUAUCUAUCUUGAAUAUCGAGUAGGUAAGCGGAAUAUGUCAUGUAGCGGUGAAAUGCUUAGAUAUGACAUAGAACACCAAUUGCGAAGGCAGCUUACUUCAAGAUUAUUGACACUGAGGCACGAAAGCGUGGGGAUCAAACAGG
rnacentral:rRNA from 1 species